rnacentral:rRNA from 1 species
AUGAACGCUGGCGGCGUGCCUAAUACAUGCAAGUCGAGCGAACAGACGAGGAGCUUGCUCCUCUGACGUUAGCGGCGGACGGGUGAGUAACACGUGGAUAACCUACCUAUAAGACUGGGAUAACCUCGGGAAACCGGAGCUAAUACCGGAUAAUAUAUUGAACCGCAUGGUUCAAUAGUGAAAGACGGUUUUGCUGUCACUUAUAGAUGGAUCCGCGCCGCAUUAGCUAGUUGGUAAGGUAACGGCUUACCAAGGCAACGGUGCGUAGCCGACCUGAGAGGGUGAUCGGCCACACUGGAACUGAAACACGGUCCAGACUCCUACGGGAGGCAGCAGUAGGGAAUCUUCCGCAAUGGGGGAAAGCCUGACGGAGCAACGCCGCGUGAGUGAUGAAGGUCUUCGGAUCGUAAAACUCUGUUAUUAGGGAAGAACAAAUGUGUAAGUAACUAUGCACGUCUUGACGGUACCUAAUCAGAAAGCCACGGCUAACUACGUG